ACGAUUCCUCUGUAGUUCAGUCGGUAGAACGGCGGACUGUUAAUCCGUAUGUCACUGGUUCGAGUCCAGUNUCGUUCCA
rnacentral:tRNA from 1 species